UACGGAAGGGGCUAGCGUUGUUCGGAAUUACUGGGCGUAAAGCGCGCGUAGGCGGCUUUUCAAGUGAGGCGUGAAAGUCCUGGGCUCAACCUGGGGACGGCGCUUCAGACUGUCUGGCUAGAGUCCGGAAGAGGGUGGUGGAAUUCCGAGUGUAGAGGUGAAAUUCGUAGAUAUUCGGAGGAACACCGGUGGCGAAGGCGGCCACCUGGUCCGGUACUGACGCUCAAGUGCGAAAGCGUGGGGAGCAAACAGG
rnacentral:rRNA from 1 species